rnacentral:misc_RNA from 1 species
GUUUGUGUUUGUGAGAGUGGUGGAGAGGAUACACGAGGAUGUUCAUAUAUAGGAAUAUGCAUUCAUGGGUAUGAGUUUGUUUUGUCUGGUCCAAAUGGACCUCAAGAGACUGAAGUUGGUUAAAGUCGUGUCAGAAAAUGCUUUUAGCUUUAGAUUGGGUUAGCUUUAAAGUUUAAACUGAGCUGGACUGGAAAACGAAAAGAAAUUUUGGGUUAUUAUUUCACUUAUGGUGGGUUGAACUAUGAAGGAACUUAAGGCACUAACUGAUUCUGUGUAUCUGUCAUUAUGGAACAGAGGUGAAACUGGAUUGUUAUUAUGUGAUCAUUAUGGAACAAAGGUGGAAAUCAUGCAAAUGGAUUUUUUUUUUCUUUU